UACGAAGGGGGCUAGCGUUGUUCGGAAUUACUGGGCGUAAAGCGUAUGUAGGCGGAUCGUUAAGUCGGGGGUGAAAUCCCGAGGCUCAACCUCGGAACUGCCUUCGAUACUGGCGAUCUUCGAGUCCGGGAGAGGUGAGUGGAACUCCGAGUGUAGAGGUGAAAUUCGUAGAUAUCGUAAGGAAGACCAGUGGCGAAGGCGGGUCUCUGGACAGUUCCUGACGCUGAGGCACGAAGGCCAGGGGAGCAAACGGG
rnacentral:rRNA from 1 species